rnacentral:lncRNA from 1 species
AUGCUUCCUUUACAAACCUCCCCAAAUGGUUACUCUGUGGCACAUUUUUUUUUCUUAAAGAUUUUAUUAUUUGACAGAGAAAGAGCAUGUGUGGGAGGGAGCACAGGCAGGGGCAGAGGCGGGGAGAGGGAGAAGCAGGCCCCCCCCAUCCCCAGCAGGUGCCGGGACCUGAGGCCCCGCCCCCCCCCCCCCCCCCCCCGCCGUGGGACAUCUUCCUCCCGUACCUGCCUCUCCGUCAUUUCAAGGACUACCCUCCGUCACUCUCCCAAGUACCUUUGGAGCAGGUUUGAACGUGCAGGUGCGGUUGGGGGCCCCGAGCCCGCGGCCAAGAAAGAGUUCGUGGGGCGGCUGCGGGGUGGUGGUUCUCUUACGGGGCUGGGGGGGCUGCGGACGGGCAGGUCCCCAAGGAUCCUCCUGUGUAAGGCCCUGCUCCUGGCCCACCCAGGCGGCCUUUCUAGCAAGGAGGGGUUUUGUUUUUUUAAUGUAGAAGUUUUUAUUCUAUUUUAUUUUAUUUUAUUUAUUUUAUUUUAUUUUAUUUUAUUUUAUUUUAUAUUUUAUUUUAUUUUAUUUAUUUUAUUUUAUUUAUUUUAUUUUAUUUUAUAUUUUAUUUUAUUUUAUUUAUUUUAUUUUAUUUAUUUUAUUUUAUUAUUUUAUUUUAUAUUUUAUUUUAUUUUAUUUAUUUUAUUUUAUUUAUUUUAUUUUAUUUAUUUUAUUUUAUUUUAUUUAUUUUAUUUUAUUUUAUUUACUUUUUUUAUUUUAUUUUAUUUUAUUUUAUUUUAUUUAUUUUUAUUUUAUUUUAUUUAUUUUAUUUUAUUAUUUUAUUUUAUUUUAUUAUUUUAUUUUAUUUUAUUUAUUUUAUUUUUUAUUUUAUUUUAUUUUAUUUUAUUUUAUUAUUUUAUUUUAUUUUAUUUUAUUUUAUAUUUUAUUUUUGUAUAUUUUUUACUGGAGUUGGACCAAGGGAUCCACACGACGACGGAGCCUCCCGCGGGAACGCUGGCUCCUGCCCCCAAGCAUCUGCCCUGUGCCCGGUCAUCCCCGCCCCCUCCCCGUCAGCCUGUGAGGAAUAGAGAAGGUCGGGGGGCUGGGAUGGGGCGCCUUUCGGGGUGUCCCCGGCCGGGAAGGGGCACGCGCGGGCACAGGAGCAUAAGGCCUAAAAGGGCCGAGGGCGCUGCAGUGCGGGCAGGCGGGGGGCGGCGAGCAGGCGGCGCGGGGGCGGCCGGGAGGGGCCCACGCGCAGGCCGCCGCGCGUGCAAAGGCCCUGGGGUGGGAGGCGGCGGGAGUGAAGAGGGCCGUUUCCCGGAAAGCGAAGCAAAAGGCUCGGUGCCGCUCGCGUCAGGGCCCCGCUCCCCGACCCCCCUCACCCCCCGACCCUCCCCACCCCACCCCAGCCCCCAGGCGACCCCGCGCUGCGCUCUGCUCCGCGCCACGGCCGCCCCCACUUCCCGCAGGGUCUGUCCCCGUCGUCGGCGGGUGGGUCCGGGCAGGGCCCUUCCCGGGUGGGGGGAACGAGCGAGCUGCCGGGGGCCCUCGGGCGCGGAACCCAGCCUGCAGCUCCCCCGCCACACCCCUGCCCGGCCACCUGCCCGGCCACCUGCACGGCCACCUGCACGGCCACCUGCACGGCCGCCCUCCCGCUCGCUCCGGGCAGCCUCUGUCCCUAGGGGGUCGGGGCGGCCGAGGAGGUAA